CGUGUAGGCGGUCUGGUAAGUGAGGUGUGAAACGCCCCGGCUCACCCGGGGACCUGCAUCUCAAACUGCCUGGCUUGAGUACGGGAGAGGAUGAGGGAAUUCCUGGUGUAGCGGUGAAAUGCGUAGAUAUCAGGAGGAACACCGGUGGCGAAAGCGCUCAUCUGGCCCGAUACUGACGCUGAGGCGCGAAAGCUAGGGGAGCAAACGGGAUUAGAUACCCCGGUAGUCCUAGCCGUAAACGGUGAGCACUAGGUGUUGGAGGCAUCGACCCCUCCAGUGCCGCAGCUAACGCAUUAAGUGCUCCGCCUGGGGAGUACGGCCGCAAGGUUGAA
rnacentral:rRNA from 1 species